rnacentral:lncRNA from 1 species
CAGGUUUUUAGAUAAAAGACCAUUUUCUGGUCCUGCUUUAUUAAGAAAGCAACUGUUUGGCUGGGGUUACCAGCUUGCAAGAACAAGAGUUUAGGAACAGUAAGCUAUUACAUUGAAGCAUUUUGACAAAAUAAGAUUGCUGACACUCUCUAAUUCACUCUCUAAACAAAAAGAAGAACAUAAGAGAAAAGCUUAAGUUGAUUCCUCCGUCAUUUUUCCUUCCGACAAGCUACUCUCCUUCAGACCGUAAGGAUGACAGUUGAAGUUUGAACUGCUGAAUCACUACCUCGAUCCAUUGUCGCCCCUGCCCCUGAACAUCUUCCAUUUCUGCAUAAACGAUAUUACACGGUACAAACUUACAUCAGGAGAAGAUACUACUAUAUUAUUGAAAACAAGAUCAUUCCUAAUGAGCCAAAGGCUCCAAGCAACACAACCAAGAAGGAAAAUUAAAUUCAUAGUUUGCUUGAUAGGCUCCCUCAUUACUCGCUCUCGAAGAUCAUCCACACUCUGCGGUAAGAUAUUCCACUCUAGCACAUCUCUAGAUACACACCAUACCAACCGAGCAAUUGCGCAGAAGAAAAUCAUAUGAUUUAUGCUUUCCAGCUGACCAUAUAAUUUGCACUCAACCUCCCCUGGCCAAUUUCUCUUUUUCAGUUGUUCUGCAGAUUGGAUCUUGUCAUUGCACACCUGCCAAAGGAACACUUUUAUCUUCAAGGGUAGUUUGGCCUUCCAUAUACACAGUAACCAUUUAUUAGCAAACCCUGUGAAUUUUAGUUCAUUGUACAGAGAAGCAACACAUGGUACAUGUCAAAGCACAAGGCCAGAUCCCUUGAGUUUCUCUUCCACAAUGCAAUCCAGUUUUCUCCCCGUGUCUUCAGUCAUGCGUUUCACCCAAUCCCCCACCUUCCCUCAAUUUCCAGAAGCACGCUGACUUCUCAACGAUGAGAGAGAGAGAAUGUAUUUCAUUUAAUGAAACCAUGUUUGACUGUUUUCAACAUAUAUGUGUCAAUAUAGCUUGUGUUGAAUGAAACACCAAAUGAAGCAAUGUACCUGAGGUAGUAGAUGCUUGGGCCUGAAAGUGAAACUCUCCUGUGAGGACCAACGUGCGAGGUGGAUUGGGCUCGUGGGAUUGCACGGGUAGUGCGGGCUGGAUGAUGAUGGAUGGAAGGGAAGAUGGGGAAUCCCCUUGAGCCACCAAUCGAAGCAGCUCGCUCGUCACUCCCGCCGCCGACCCUCGCCGCUGUCUCGCUCCUGCCGUGACGGCGCUGCUGCGCUUCCCAUCUCACAGACGCAGUAGGUGCCGAUGAACGACGUCGUCUGCGAGUGUGUGGAUGGAAGGCGACGCGACGCCAAGCGCUGGGCUGGCGUCCCGUCGGCACGGGCACAAGGAAAUCCACCGCAGCAGCGUAGAUGCCAUGAACAAAUAAGCUUCCUCUUCCUUGCCAACUUGCAUUGCACUUGAGUCAGAUAAGCACAAGCGACAGUCGAGUCGACAGUGACGUUAACCGAUCGACAGUAUACAGGAUACAGCUUCUAGGAGAUCGAUCGACAAGGUAUACGAAAAUUCUCCCUAGUGUGAGUGUGAUAUCCUUUUCGGAUUCAGACGUUCUGCCACUUCUGUGAUGGUGAUGUAGCUAGUUGUUAGGCUUGAGAGUUAGUCUAAUCAUGGCCUCAUGGGCCGGCCGCUAUGGUAUGAUCACAGACAGGAUGAUAGGAUUGACAAAAGUGCAAGUGAUGACCAUCGAGAUGCUUGGAAAAAAGGCGAUUCCACUCUGCAUCUGCUUGUUUGCUUCCUACUUUGCUC